GACGUAGGGCGCGAGCGUUGUCCGGAUUUAUUGGGCGUAAAGAGCUCGUAGGCGGCUUGUCGCGUCGUCCGUGAAAACUUGGGGCUCAACCCCAAGCUUGCGGUCGAUACGGGCAGGCUAGAGUUCGGUAGGGGAGACUGGAAUUCCUGGUGUAGCGGUGAAAUGCGCAGAUAUCAGGAGGAACACCAAUGGCGAAGGCAGCACUCUGGGACGUGACUGACGCUGAGACGCGAAAGCGUGGGGAGCAAACAGG
rnacentral:rRNA from 1 species